AUGGGGAUGGUACCUGACUACAGCUUCUCCUUUGCUAUGUCUUCUUGUUUGUUUGCAAUGCUGGCAAUAGGGUUUCAUGACAGGGUCGAUGAGGGUAGCAUUAUUCUUAAGAAAUCCAAGAGGUUCAGCUUCUGCAGUAAUGGGAUCAUCCUGGAGGAAGGAAAUGAAUGGGAGCGGCGAUUCGGUGCCCGAGCCCAGCUGCUCCCGAAAUCAUCGGCGUCAAUUCCAGGCUCGGGAUCUGAACAAUUCACGCUGACACAUCUGACUCGAAAUAUAGAAAAAGGGACGUACGGUACGAAACAGUGGAUCUGA
rnacentral:rRNA from 1 species